GACACACGUAAUGUGAGCUGCUUCUCUGUGUCUCUGUCCCCUCUCUGUCCGGGUGUACGUCCUUGAAGGCAGGGCCUGUCUCUCGUAAUAGGACGCUCGUGCGAGGCUGUAGAGAAACAACAGUCCUUAACAGAGACCGAGGCUCUGGUUCAGUGUGUGUUAGGUGUCAUCUACUGAUGGUCCCUAUAAUAAUCUAAUACAAAUGCAACGUGACUCCCUUAUUUUCUUACAUGGUGUGAAGUGCUAAUUAGACUGACUGCUUUAGCUCCAUACACAGGAAAACAGCCUUCUACCAUUGCCAGCUAGUGGAGUAACUCCUUUAGCUCCACCUAGAAUAGAAGUGUGCUAGCUCGACGUCAAGGAGCCCCUCUGAAGUCCUGGGUGCCUUUGUCUCUUUGAAAGAUGCAUUUUCUUUCUGUUCAGAUAAAUUCAGAGCUCCUAAAAUCCACCUACCGUGAUCACUCAGGUUUUGCUCUGUGUGUUGGGCAGCUGUAUGACCUGAUUAGCCUGUACAUGUCCCCGCAGCCACAGUCCUUUGGCAAGUGUCCUGUUCAUGUUGGACAUCUUCCAGGAUAGUCAUGGCUUCCUAACCCCCAGCAAGGCGGGUACGAUGCCUCCCAUGUAACAAGGGUCAUGCACACACACACACAUACACAAAACUUUUCAGCCAAAUCUCUUUUUCCAGUGAAACCCGCGGCUUCAGCAGCUGUCCCAAGUUUUGUGAACUCCAGCCAAUUUUGCUGACUUGUUUGUUUCAGGAAGAAAAAUAAAACCAUGGAAAUGU